UCUCACUCUCUCAUUCACUUCAUAUCUCUUCAUUUCUCUCUCUCUCUCUCUCUCUCUCGCCUGACUUCGACCGGCGACCUUGGAGCCGUCCCUCCGGCGACGGGCAGCAGCUCCAACAGUGAGACAACCUCCCUUCGAUCUCCGACGAGCAGCAGCGGCGGCGGCCCUCUUCUCCAGUGAAGCAGUGACGGCGACGAUCUCCAGCGGCAGCGACGCUCUAGCUCCGGCGAAUCCUCUCCCCUUCUUCCCUUUUUCCGGCGUGGCGAGCAGAGGCUAAUCUCAGGCGAGGCAGCAGCGACCUCCGACCCUACUCCGGCAAAGCGGCAGAAAUGGUGUUCCUCUUGCAGCGUGGGGUUUGGUUGAGCAAAAGGCACGUCACCGCAGAACAUAGUGGAAAAACAAAACAAAAAAAAAAAAAAAAGAAGAAAUAGAUCUGCAGCCUGCAGGUGCCAGAACACAAUAAUUGGAGGGGCACUUAUCAGGGGAAUAUCUGGAGGUGAAAGGAAACGAGUCUGCAUUGGCAAUGAAAUUCUGCUAAACCCAUCACUUCUGUUCUUGGAUGAACCAACAUCCGGUUUGGAUUCAACCACGGCUCUGCGAAUUGUCCAGAUGUUACAUAAUAUUGCUAAGGUUGUAAUUAUAUAUCAUCUUUCAAAUUAAUGUUACAUAACACUUUGCUUACGUGGCAAAUCAUAUAUUAAUAAUAUUGAAAAGUCAACUGCCGCAUAAGCUUUGACCGGAUGCUAUCGGGUGGUUAACCGGAUCAAGGGGUGGGAUGCACUAAAAUGAUGAGUUUAUGUGUUU